rnacentral:lncRNA from 1 species
UUGCAUUCAAUCUCUAUUCUCAUUAAUUAAUUCUUCAUAUCUUGUAAAAUUCGUUCAAUAAUAAGAAAUAUUGCCAUUCAAUCUAAAUUAGUGUAUAAGCCAGCAGUGUAUUAUAUUGUAACAUAACAUAGGCCUGCAUGAAUAAAGAGAACUCUAAUCUAAUCUAAUCUAAUCCGUAAUCCCUACGCUGUAUGUUCUCUUUUCAACUGCAAAUGUCUUCUAUUGAAUUCUUCAAUGUUGUUUUCCAUCACGAACUGCUUAUUAUUAAAUCCCUUUUUUCUUUUAGAAAAAAACGACUAGCAGUCAGAUAUUUUUACAAUAAAUGAAUAAAUCACUCACUGGACAACGAGAUCUUUCGGCAGUUCCGCCAUAUUCUUGGUUGUCUUCUAUUGCUAUACUUUUUAGUACGGUAUAUUGUCUGAGUCUCUCCCCCUCCUACAAGCUCCUUCUUUUGUAAUAGUAUGUAGGCCUAACUUUCACCAUUGUCCACGGCCGUGCUCUCUCUCUCGAAACUCACUCCUUCCUUGUCGAAGUAUUUUCGCGCCUUUUUGAGUUGCGUUUGCCUUUUGCUAUAUAGUUAUUGGACUUGAUCUUCUUGUCUAAUGCAGUCGCAAGGGUUAGUUUCAGUUCAUCACGUAUUGAAUACAGAGUACAUUUCCUGUUUCCAGUGUUUUAUCCAGGCAUUUAUUUGUUUUGAAGUCACGUGAUCUUCUAUCAUCAAUGAGACGUAUGUCGCGUCAUGCGCCGAUAAAGCUUCGGAAGGGCGCACAAUCAUGAGUAUCAUGGGGAAGCUGGUGACCCUUCCUCACCAUCCAAAGCAAGGACGACCAUAAGAGAGAGAAAAACCUUUCAAGGACCUUCUGAUAACUGAAGUUAUGAUUGCAGCUGCUACAAACCGGUGCUGGCCGAAGGCAGAAUUGAAGCAGGUCUAGUUGAAAGCGGCUACGUGGCUUGCACAAGCCCAAUCCAAGUUGGACAAAAUGAAUCAGCCAUCAACACCAGCUACAAUAACAAUAUUCGACAUCGAUUGUGAAGAUGAACCUCUCGAAUAGAUAAGAAUAUAAUAGUAGUGACAGAAAAGAUCAUAAAACGUGUCUACAUGUUCAAUUUACUGAUAUCAUAAACAAUAAAUUAGUAAUUGAUUAUAA